rfam:Vibrio splendidus LGP32 chromosome 1
UCAUCACCAUCAUCACCCUAUCUAGUCUUUCGGGGAGAUUUACGUAUACCCGGGAGCAAGAAUUCUCCCGGAGGUUAAGUCAAAGAAUUUAGAUUUAAACCCUCGGGACGACAAAGUCUUCCGAGGGUUUUUUAGU